UAAGAGGUCCUGCCUGCCCAGUGACGAUAUGUUUAACGGCCGCGGUACUUUGACCGUGCGAAGGUAGCGCAAUCACUUGUCUUUUAAAUGAAGACCUGUAUGAAUGGCACGACGAGGGCUUAACUGUCUCCUUUUUCCAGUCAAUGAAAUUGAUCUUCCCGUGCAGAAGCGGGAAUAGAACCAUAAGACGAGAAGACCCUGUGGAGCUUUAGACACUAAAUCAGCCCUUGUCCAAAAUCCCAAUUAAAGGAAUGAACACUAGAGUGAGACCUGAUCUAAUGUCUUCGGUUGGGGCGACCUUGGGGAAAGAAAAAUCCCCCAUGCGGAACGGAAAUACUAUGUUUCCAAAGCUAAGAGAAACCACUCAAAGCAUCAAAAAUUUUGACCAACUAUAUGAUCCGGCUUAACGCCGAUCAACGGACCGAGUUACCCCAGGGAUAACAGCGCAAUCCUCUUUUAGAGCCCAUAUCGACAAGAGGGUUUACGACCUCGAUGUUGGAUCAGGACAUCCUAAUGGUGCAGCCGCUAUUAAGGGUUCGUUUGUUCAACGAUUAAAGUCC
rnacentral:rRNA from 1 species